ensembl:lncRNA
CCUCCCAGUCCCUCUCUGGCCCAGAAGGCUUCCGGGAUAUUCACAUAUUCUGAAUCGCCCCCAAGUGCCAAAGUUGGGGAAGGAGGAGGAUAACAUUUUCCCGAGGAGGGACCUCUGACCCAGCUGCCUGGUCCAGAGCCCAUCACAUCAUAGCCUCCUUGAGCUUAAGAGCAUUAGACGGCAUUUGAGCACUAUGCCUGGGAGCCAAUUCAAACAGUGAAGCCACCAACAGAAAGCACAAAAGUGUGAAACACACAGCACUAAAUAGACCGUGAAGAUGGCACGUUCAUGGUGUGAGAGCUGAAACCAGGAGGUGGAAAGUUGCCUAGUGUGACAUCAGCCGGGAAGCAGCAUGCGGGUAAUUCAAAUUGUGUGUGGCUCUGUGCAUGACCUAGGAAGUCCCACCAGAAUUGGUUUUGGGACUGCAAGUAAAUUUUAGCAAGACGAUGAAUUCUCCCAUAUAGGCUUUGCGAAUAGUGACGAUCAACUGUACACACGCACACACACACACACACACACACACAUACACAGACACACACACACACACAGAGGGACUCUCAACCGCCUGUGUGUAUCCACAACCCAACAUGAGUGACAAAAACAUCAUGGACAUCUGAGAGCCCUCUGUGGAUCCCUCCCAGAGAGAACUGUGCCGCUUAGUUUGGGCUGUUUUUACACGGGGCCAUGCCAGGUUUUCUGGGACACGGCACCUCCAAGCCCUGUUGAAAUGAGCAGCUCCAUCCAUUCUUUAGUUUGGAGGCUCCCACUCCCCAGAGAUGCUGAUCCACUUGACCUGGGGUGUGGCUUGAGCACCCUAUGUUUAAAAGCUUACAGGUCAGUCUACUGUGUAUUUGAUGCUGAGAACCGCAGAUUCCUUGAGCAGUCUUGCUCUAAGCCCUGGAGAACACACAGGAAUGUUGUAUUAACCACGUCUUUUUAUUCUGUCUUUUCGAUGCUUUGACAUCUUGGGGACUUGCUUAGGGAGACUGCCCCUCCCAGGGCUAGCUAAUUCCUAGAGACAGCAAGCAGUUUGCCUGUGAGUGCGCCUUUCAUGUGCAAACCAACCAAUCCAGAGCCCACAGCCCAACCAUCUCCUUCACCGAGCUCUUAUCCUCAGGGCCAAUGUCCACCUCCUCAGUCACCCCCGGGCCGGGUACCAGACAACCAGGGACAGCCCCUGUGCCCCAGAGCCUGCGGAAAUUGUUCAAACUAGCAAUCCUAAGCCUGCUUACCCUGCCUCUCCCACUGUUUCCUGAGGGGACCACAAUAAAGGCUGUUGCCCACAUUUUCCCCUCUCUCUCUCUGCCUCUGAUGGACCCUGGUGUGUCCUCAUGUGGCCCCCGUGACAUGGUGUGGCCCCUCCUCUUGGGAACUGUGAGAAACAAACUGUCUUUUUGAUGGCCAUCUUCUCCUGACCUGUUGGCCUCACCAUCCCUGGAUAAUAAUGACCCUAUAUUUUAAAACCGACCUCUCCUCUCAUUCUUCUCAGUGGGAACUCUCAGUGCUGUUCCAUGGUCUGGCAUUUUUCAGUCAUCCGUGCAAAUACUCCCUUCUCCAUUCUGGUGGUUAAUGAAGAACUGAGCAUAAUUGUUUUCUCCUGCUCUGCUGGGACAAAUUUUAGAUGUAGGGCACAUGAUUCCCGCUGCAAUUAAUUUUCUCUGCAGUUGAAAGGGAAAGCUGAAAGAGGCUCUGUCUCUUGACAAUUAACUCAUCAAUUCUUGAGUCAAGAGUGCUGGUGGGCUCACCAGAGAAUGACACACUCCAGGGAGGCAUCAUCAGGAGUCACUGUGAGAUGGGGAGAGCUGAUGGGUCUGGUCACAGCCCUGGCUCAGUGGCCUUCAGAGCGAGGUGGGGAAAGAACCAGCAGAAGACACGUGUCUCUCACCUUUGUCUUGUGCGAACAGGACGCAUAGCACUGUGCAACGUUAGGGCCUGUUUUUCCAGCCUGCAUAGUAGAUAUCUGGAUAUUUUGCAUCAUCUUUCCACUUUCAGUUCACAGCAGUGUGUGUUUUUGGUGAGGCAGGCUCUUCAGAUAUGAUGGAACCAGUUCCACACCCGCGUGUGUCCUCGCACAGACAUGUAUGCAAGUGUUGAUGGUAUCAGCAGGUGAGCUUUGGGCAGGUGUAUUGGUGAGAGACUAUCUCUUUUCUUUUUGGAAUCCCAGACUCUCCAUAUUUAUGUAAAU